AACGAACGCUGGCGGCAGGCCUAACAUAUGCAAGUCGAGCGAGGACUUCGGUUCUAGCGGCGGACGGGUGAGUAACGCGUGGGAAUGUGCCCUUCUCUACGGAAUAGCCCUGGGAAACUGGGAGUAAUACCGUAUACGCCCUUUUGGGGAAAGAUUUAUCGGAGAAGGAUCAGCCCGCGUUGGAUUAGGUAGUUGGUGGGGUAAUGGCCUACCAAGCCGACGAUCCAUAGCUGGUUUGAGAGGAUGAUCAGCCACACUGGGACUGAGACACGGCCCAGACUCCUACGGGAGGCAGCAGUGGGGAAUCUUAGACAAUGGGGGCAACCCUGAUCUAGCCAUGCCGCGUGAGUGAUGAAGGCCUUAGGGUUGUAAAGCUCUUUCAGCUGGGAAGAUAAUGACGGUACCAGCAGAAGAAGCCCCGGCUAACUCCG
rnacentral:rRNA from 1 species